AGGGAGCUAGUCCAAAAUAAGACCUCUGAUUUCGACUCAGAAAAUCAUGGUUUGAUUCCAUGACUCCCUU
rnacentral:tRNA from 1 species